UUAUUGGAGAGUUUGAUCCUGGCUCAGGACGAACGCUGGCGGCGUGCCUAAUACAUGCAAGUCGAGCGGACUUGAUGAGGAGCUUGCUCCU
rnacentral:rRNA from 1 species